rnacentral:lncRNA from 1 species
AACAUCUUAUGCUUCCAGGGAAGAUACCGCAUCUGCCUGAGGAACAGAUAGGGCAAGUGAGAAGGAUACAAGGAAGCAUGUGGAGACAAGCGUAACAGCACACGUGCCGAUACAUCCACUACUCUGUCAAAAGCAAAAAGUAUCCCAUAUCAGCAGCAGGGUCGAACGUACUCUAGAUUUGAUGGACUUGUUUUGACCCUCAAAUUCUUCAGUCGGCCUUAUACUCUGGAGGAAACCAGAAAACCCUCCAGCCCAGUUCAAGAAUAAGCCUGUGGAAAGUUACUUCUUCAAAAGCAAAAGUAUCCUCAUAUCAUCUCUUCUCAUUUUUCUUCUCUUUAUCCUUCAUGCUGCCUGCAAGAUAGGGAGAAUGAGAACAAUCAGCCGGAACUCGAAAUCAAACUUCUGAUCUGGGACUGAUUGCUUGGAGCUCUGAUUGCUUACCUUGUCUGUCACCUCUUUCAGCAGAUCCCCUAGCUCGGCGACUUGGGGGACUCCUACUACAUGGUUUGUAUCGCGCUUGACCAAGCCUGAAACUACAAGUAAGCUUCAAGUGAAAUUGAUACAUUACCUUGUGCAUCUCCACCAGUUAAAGAUACCACCCCUGGAUGGAGGAAGAGUACUUCCAGAGAAGAUGCCACAUCUACCUAUGAGACAGAUAAGGCAAGUCAAGACGAUACCACACUCCGGUACUUAGAAGUUUCGUGAUUACGAGAUCAUUCUCCCACAAUAUUUCCUAAUGUCAUUUGUACUAAAUCAUUCACUUGUACUCACUAAAGGAGAGCUUGAACCUAUGUACUUGUGUAAACCCUUCACAAUUAAUGAGAACUCCUCUAUUCCGUGGACGUAGCCAAUCUGGGUGAACCACGUACAUCUUGUGUUUGCUUUCCUAUCUCUAUCCAUUUAUAUACUUAUCCACACUAAUGNAUUGCCCAGACGGAGAAGUUUUUAUAGGAGGAGAUUUAAAUGGACACGUGGGCGGGACAGGUAACUAUGGAGGUUUUCAUGGGGCCAUGUUUUGGGGGAGAACGAGGAUGAGAAAGCUAUCUUGGAUUUUGCAAUGGCAUAUGAUCUCUUCUUGCCAACACUUUCUUUAGAAGAAGAACAUGUGAUCACCACAAGAGUGGGUCUCAAAAACACAAAUAGAUUUCUUCUAAUGAGAAAAAGGGGAUCGUUAUAACUUGUAAGGAUUGAAAGUUAACCCGGGAGAGCUUGGCUAAUCAACAUCGUUUAUUGGUGAUGGAUGUACAUAUCAAGGAGGAGAAAAAAAGAAUAAGACUUGGAAGUGCCAAGACUAGAUGGUGGAAUCUAAAAGGAGAAAACAAACCAUUUUCAAAGAGAAAGUAAUCACCCCAGUGUGGUGGAUAGAGAGGGAGAACUGGCCAAGGUGGGAUUCCAUGCUAGUUGUAUCCGAAAAGUAGCAAAAGAGGUAUUAGAGAGUCAAGGGCUUUGCUCACCAAAAGGAUCUUGGUGGUGGAAUGAGGGUACAACAAAGGUGAAGGCUAAGAAGGAAUGUUGUAAAGCCUAUAUACAAGGACCGGACCGAUGAAAAUGGUGAAAGGUAUAGAAGAGCGAAGCAAGAGGCAAAGAAAGCUGUGAGAGAAGCUAAGUUACGGCUUUAUGACGAUAUGUAUAAGCGACUAGAUACCAAAGAAGGAGAGUUGGAUAUCUACAAACUAGCUAAAGCAAGGGAAAAAAGACAAUGGACCUAAACAAGUGAGGUGCAUCAGGAUGAGGAUGGAAAGGUUCUUGCUACAGAAACGCGGUCAAAGACAGAUGGAGAGGUAUUUUCAUAUCUUUUCAUGAGGACAUGAAAGAAGUACUUCUUUAGGGGAGUUGAGUAACUCAGAAGAGUUGAGAAACUACCAUUUUAUCGUCGAAUCAGGAAGGAAGAAGUGGUUGUGUUUGAAGAAGUGAAGCAUAGAAAAGCAGUGGGCCCAGACGAUUAUACCGAUCGAAGUGUGGAAAGUCUUGGAAGAGACAGGUUAUGCAUGGCUCAUGACCUUUUCAAUAGGAUUUUGAAAACGAAGAAGAUGCAAAUGAGUGGCAAAAGAGUACUGUGGUGCCUAUCUACAAGAAUAAGAGCGACGUACAAAAUUGCAUGAACUAUAGGGGUAUUAAGCUAAUGAGUCAUACAAUGAAGCUCUGGGAGAGAGUCAUUGAGCAUAGAUUGAGGCAAGAGACACGGGUUUCGGACAACCAAUUCGGGUUCAUGCCAGGGCGCUCAACCAUGGAGGCAAUCUAUUCUUACGAAGAUUGAUGGAAAGAUAUAGAGAUGGGAAAAAGGAUUUACACAUGGUCUUUAUAGAUUUGGAAAAAGCGUAUGAUAGGGUCCCAAGAGACAUUCUUUGGAGGAUUUAAGAGAAGAAAGGAGUACGAGUAGCAUAUAUCCAAGCUAUAAGGAUAUGUAUGAAGGAGCAAGACUGCCGUAAGAACUUAUGAAGACAAACCGAAAGUUCCCCAUAACUGUAGAAUUACAUCAAGGCUCAUCCUUAAGUCCUUACCUUUUUGCGUUGGUAAUGGAUGAGUUAACAGGACAUAUUCAAGAUGAUUCCUUGGUGUAUGCUUUUCGCAGACGAUAUAGUGUUGAUAGAUGAAACUCAGGAAGGGGUAAAUGCGAAGCUUAACCUUUGGAGAGAAGUGUUGGAAUCUAAAGGUCUUCGCCUAAGCCGAUCAAAAUGAGUUAGGGGUGAGGAUCGGAGAUCAGGAAAUACCAAAGAGCGAUCGUUUUCGCUACUUAGGAUCUAUCUUGCAAAAGAACGGAGAAUUAGAUGGAGAUCUCAACCAUAGAAUACAAGCUGGAUGGAUGAAGUGGAAGAGUGCAUCCGGCGUGUUGUGUGACCGCCGUAUGCCACUAAAGCUCAAGGGAAAAUUUUAUAGGCCGGCGAUGCUGUAUGGCACAAAAUGUUGGACGGUGAAGCAUCAACACGUACACAAAAUGGGUGUAGCGGAGAUGAGGAUGCUUCGUUGGAUGUGUGGCCACACGAGAAAGGAUAAGAUUAGGAAUGAGGAUAUCCGAGGUAAAGUAGGAGUAGCCGAAAUUGUAGGAAAGUUGAGAGAAAAUCGGUUACGGUGGUUUGGACAUGUGCAAAGAAGGCCUACUGACGCUCCGGUUAGAAGAUGCGACUACGGGACAGGGUUCAGGGCCGAAGGGGGUAGAGGAAGACCUAGGAAAACUUUGGAAGAGACUCUAAGAAAAGACUUAGAGUAUUUGGAUCUAACGAAGGACAUGACACAGGACCGAGCACAAUGGUGUUCUAAGAUUCAUAUAGCCGACCCCACUCAGUGAAGAAAGCUUUGGUGUAUUUAACACAAUACGUUGGAAAUGAAGCAAAACUUAUUUAUUGAUAUCUCCGAUAAGUUACAAAUAUGUACAUAUACAUGAGUCAAAAUAAACAAACAAGAGGGAGCCUUCACAAAGGUUGCUUAGGAGAAGUCUCAGCAGUCGGUAGAGCCCCAGAAAGAGAAGGCAUCGGAGGGGGAUCAUUCGGAGCCUCAAUAUUGGACAGAACCCUAGAAGGAAAAGGCAUCGGAGGUUGAUCAUUUGGAGCUUCAUUAUGCGGUACAGCCCCAGAAGAAAAAGGCAAUAAAUGCCUUUGGAACAAACCCACAAACCGCUGAUGAUCAAGUAAAACCUGACCAUCAGAUUCCUUCAUCUGGUCAAGCUUCCUCUUCAUGUUUGUAGCAUAGUUAUGUGCGAGCCGGUGCAACUGUUUAUUCUCAUGCUUGAGCCCUCUAAUCUCCUGUUUGAGACUCAUCACUUCAGCCGUCAAUGAUUCAACUUGGCGGGUUCGAGCAAAUAGGCCUUUAGACACAGAACCUGCACACUGAAUACUCAGAGCCAGAGAAUCCUUAACAGCCAAUUCAUCAGACCGUUUGGAAAGUAGUCUGUUAUCUUUGGGAGUGAGAAGGUUCCUGGCCACCACCGCAGCAGUCAUAUCAUUCUUCAUCACGGAAUCCCCAACGGUAAGAGGACCAGUAGGGGAUAAGAAGGAUGGGCGCUAUAUGUUGUCUGGAGAAGGUGUGGCUGCCUCUUCAACAAGGUUCAAGUCAAAAUGACGGUCGGAGGGGCCAGACAUUUUCAAAGGUGUUGAAGAGAGAAGAGGUCGGACAAAUCAAGAUCUUAGAAGUGCAAGAAGGGAGCUUCUACUGGUGAAGAUUCAAGUGUGCUUUGAAACUUAAUGCCAGCCUCUAUAAAAAUCUGCACUCGACGGAGCUUCAGAAAUCGAAGAGGCGUUUGUUUUCUCAAAAGCUAGGCUGCUCAGAGACCACGAGGGCCGAUCUCAGAAAUCGAAGAGGCGUUUGCUUUCUCAAAAGCUGAGCUGCUCAAAGACCACGAAGAUCGAUCUCAGAAAUCGAAGAGGCUUGCUUUCUCAAAAGCUGGGCUGCUCAGAGACCACGAGGGCCGAUCUCAGAAAUCGAAGAGGCACUUUUUAGCCUUGUCAGCACCUGUCACAUGCACUCAGCUUUGCUGAAAUUACGGGCAUUCUGUUGAAAAUUUCUGAUGAAGUAGAAAGCACGUGAAUCUUACUGUUCAAUCAUCCACUUUUCACACGCACCAUCAGCUCAGGGGUACCACAGAUAACUUUGCCAAAGAUCUCUGACAAAGUUUAGACAUGUGAAGCUUGCAGCUCCCACUACAUCGCUAUGACCAAGAAGGGUAAAAGAAUAGCAAAGAAACAGCACUAACAAAGUUUAGACACAUAAAUUUUGAAGGUCUAGUUAUCAUAUUAUUACCCACAAGGGUAAAGGAACAGCACCACUGCUGGAUAAUUGGAAAGUCCCUGUGUGUCAACCUCUGUGCUCCGUGGCAAGGUAGACUAGCAAACAUGCCCUACCUUUACUCACUUUCAAGAAAACACUCCCAACAAGAUUGCUUGCUCCAAAAUCGAAGAGGCACCGUUCUCCGAAUCUCGAGAGCCAAAACUCCCAACAUGAUUAAUUUCUCAAAAACCGAAGAGACACCGCUCUCCGAAUCUCGAGAGCCAGACUCCCAGCAGGAUUGCUCUCUCAAAAAUCGAAGAGGCACCGUUCUCCGAAUCUCGAGAGCCAGAUCCCCGACAGGAUUGCUUGUUCAAAAACCGAAGAGGCACCGCUUUCUCGAGAGCCAGAUCUUCUUGGAUAAAGCUUGUCUGUAAUCUUCACACGCAACAUCAGCUUUCCAGAUACCACAGAUCACUUUUCAAAGUGCUCUGACACACGUGAAGCUGGCAGCUCCCACUACCGUGCUAUGACCAAGUAGGGUAAAGGAAUAGCAUUACUACUUGUUGUUAGGGAGACUCCUAUAUAUGUCGACCUCCAUCCUCAACGGACAGGCAGACCUGCAAAAAUGCUCAACCCUUCCUCAUAUCUGAGAGGGCACUCCCAACGAAGCCUCUCGAAAUACUCAGCUUUCUUUUCCCCCGAUAAUACCUCUGCAAACAAGCUACACCAGAGCAAGAAUAUCUCAUAUCAUCAGGGUUAAAAGCAAAGAGUAUCCCAUUAUUCAUGCUUUUUCCCUGUCUUUUCCUUUGGCCUUGUUCUUACCUGCAAGACAAGGAGAAAGAGAGCAAUCAGUCAGCACUUGGAAUCAAGCUUCCAGUCAGGAACUGACUGCCUGGAACCCUUUACCUGAUUACUUACCUGGCAUUGCUCUCGAGUACACAUCUUCAACAUCUUUUGCUUCCAGAGAAGAUACCACAUUUGCCUGAGGAACCGAUAGGGAAAGUGAGAAGGAUACAAGGAAGCAUGUGGAGACAAGCGUAAUAGAACGCGUGCCGAUACAUCCACUACUUUGUCAACAGCAAAAGUAUCCCAUAUCAGCAGGGUCGAACGUACUCUAGAUUUGAUGGACUUGUUUUGACCUUCAAAUUCUUCAGUCGGCCUUAU